CUGCUGCUGUUCGUUACAAAAGAGAGCAGAGAGUUUUAUCGCUGGUGUUGGUGGGGGGGCUGUGCUGCGGCUGGUGGGCAGCAGGGGGCGUCGUGCCGGGCCAGCGCCUGCCCCGGGAGUUAUCAGUUUGGAGGCUGAGCAAAGCACGUCAGCCCGUGGGCACGCUUUGUGCUGGUUCGUGCCCCGUGACUUUGGUGCUGUCUUUGCAAAAGAGCAAAGGCCCAAAGAGCUCUGCCCAGGGCAGAGAGGUGUGAGGGCAGGGCUGCAGAAGGCCCUUCUGCAGUGCCGCGGGGGAGAGAUUUGUCAGUGUUUGUCAGCGUCUGCAGAGGGUGCGGAAGGAUUUAUCAUCGAGUUGUGGAAACUACCAGGGACGAAGGCAGGUGACUGCUUUCCAGGCGGUGAGGGGCAAUGUCUGCGCUCUCUCCCGGGCUGUGCCAUCUCGGUGGCGCUGAGCUCAUGAGCCGGCAGGUGACAGGAGCUGAGCUCACAGUGGGAUGUGCCGCAUCACAGGGAGGUCUCCRCGGUGCCCAGCGGUGCCCUCACUUCGCUGCGAGGCCUGGGCGCUGCUGGGCACUGCUGACGUGCUCCCCACGGCUGCCCUUGGGAGCCGCUGCACGGCAAGGAGUGGGGCCGGGAGGCAGCGGGGCCGUGCUGGGGCCCCUCGGCGACAGGCAGAGGAGCAGGGGUGCUUUGGAGAGGAGUUUUGCUUGUGUGGCCGGGAAGAGCGUCCUUUUUGCCCAGAUGCAGAGGCGAGGCGAGGAGAAGGGGGCAAGGGAGAUGGAGGGCUGCUGGACGGAGACGAUCAGCCCGCAGCGCAGUUUGCUCUUCCCAAUGCUGCUGCGGCUCUCCACCGAGGAGAUUGUCGCUAUUUGGGACGCUGCGUCGGAAUACAUCGUGGAGCAGCUGAUGCGGGACAAGGUGGGCUGGCGUGGCAUUGCCUGAUGGCUGGGGGACACUUGAGUCCCGCUGAGAGCCCUGGGCCGUGGGGAGCAAUCCUUUCCCCAGGGCGACAGAAGCACAGCUGUGCCGCAGAGCAGCUUCUGGGGCAGGCAGCACAGAGAUGGCAUGCAGAUGUAGUGGGGGAAAGCAUUUGGCACGUGCCAGGGUUUCUCUCUUCCCCCUGGGCAAAGGGCAAAGAGCAAGUCGAGAGAAGGGGCGGUU
rnacentral:lncRNA from 1 species